rnacentral:tRNA from 1 species
GUAAAUAUAGUUUAUUUAAAACAUUAGAUUGUGAAUCUAAAGACAGAAGUUAACCCUUCUUAUUUACC